GGUUUGGUGAUGCGCGGAGGAGGACGCGACGUGAUGGAUGGAGUUCAGUGGAGAGUGAUGUUGAACAGGAUCACUGACUGCUGACUGACGGACUGAACGCUUUCGCUCGCUUUAUCAUAAACGCCCAGCACACGGUAGGGCGCAGAUUUCCCCGCUUCGAAGCGUAGAUUCCUCUAAAACGAAGCAGAUUUUUAAUAGCCGCUAAAUACCAGGAGAAGACAACUGUGCGCUUUGCUAUGCACUAUUUCCAAGUGAAGAAAACGGGCUAAUGAAAUCUUAUUUUUUUUUAAAUGUCUCGGGAUACUUCGACAUGUCCCGAAGCCGUAUGUCUCCCUCAUCUGGCCGCUGGUUUACCUUGACUACACCAGUCCGUGGAUUGCCCUGAUCUCUUUUAAAAAGGAAGAUGCCAGGGUAUCAGGAGGGAACACACACAUGCACAGAGAGAACACGCAAACCCUAUUCAGAGAGAGGGCAGGCCAGCAUUUGAAUCCAGGAUCUCCUUGCUGCAAGACCACAGCUCAAACCACUGCUCCCACCAUGCAUUCAACCCAUAAAAUUGAAUAAUCACAUUAAAUAUCAGGCAAAGACUUCAGGGCAUAUCUGAGACUUUUAUUCUGCUCUGACAUUUUGAUGUUGUUCCUGGAAUAUAUUUGUUUUAGCUUGAAAUAAAAUGAACAUGUUAUGCAUUAUUGCUUUUAAGAGUUUGACUUGAUGCUGUGGCUCUUUCAAUUUAAAUGGGUCACAGAAAAACCUUUAGAAAUCUCCGUUUUUCAACAUCGCUCACAAUAGAUCAAUCCAAUCAAAAAAAAAUAAAAUAUCAGUAAAAAUAUAUGUUGUAGUAAACGCAGAUCACAGCAAUAGAAGGAUCAUGUUUAACAUGUUUAUUCUGGAAAAUAACUCCUAAUCAGCAGUAUGUAUGUAUAACUACUAAAAAUGUUUUUGUUUUUCAUGAGGUAAAAAAAAUAUAAAUUGGUUGUUAAAAUUAUUUAUUUUCUUCGUAGUUCCCAUCAAUAUUUUUUCUUCCAUAAAGCGUGUGACAAAAGAAGACAUACAUUCAUUACACAGGCCAACAAAAGGUGGAAAUUUCACUGUAGCAACAGAUUCUACUUGACAAAGAAAGAAAACAAUGCAGCUUGUCCAAUGUGACAAAAGCUGGUAUCGUCUCAUCUACAAACAGCAAGAAUCAGCAAAGGAAGAGGAGAAAAUGUAGCAGCUAAAGGUAGCAGGCUGACAGAAAGCAGAAAAAAAGACAGAUUUAUUAUUGGUGCUAUAGCUCUUUCACUACUAUUGAAUGACAGGAAUUAAUUUAAAUAUAGAAAAGGGUGAAUGCAAGAUGAUCAGAAGGGAGAUAGUUGCUUGUUUUUGUUCAGUUUUGUUGUAAAAAAAAAAAAAAAGAAG